rnacentral:rRNA from 1 species
UACGAAGGGUGCAAGCGUUAAUCGGAAUUACUGGGCGUAAAGGGUGCGUAGGCGGUUCGCUAAGUCUGUCGUGAAAUCCCCGGGCUCAACCUUGGACGUGCGAUGGAUACUGCCGGGCUAGAGGAUGGUAGAGGCGAGUGGAAUUCUCGGUGUAGCGGUGAAAUGCGCAGAUAUCGGGAGGAACACCAGUAGCGAAGGCGGCUCGCUGGGCCAUUCCUGACGCUGAGACGCGAAAGCUAGGGGAGCGAACAGG